UCAAAUCCAAGGUUGAAGAUGAAGUUAUUUCUGCGUGCGUGUUGGUGUUAAAUUCAAAUUCUUUCCAAUCACAAAUAACCAGUGCAUUUUUUCAUAUCUUUUGACCGUUGGCGCCAUUUUCUUAUUCUUUUUUUAUUUUCUUUUAUUCCUUUUCUUUUCAAUUUAAUCUCUCCCUCAUUUUUAAUUCAUUUUAAUCCAAA
rnacentral:lncRNA from 1 species